CUCCUGGGGUUUCGUAGGAAUGUCUUCUUUACUCCUGAACCUAAUAUCCAAUUAAACAAUUAACCCGUCUCCAUACCUCGUCCGGUAAUGGGCGCCAAACAUUCCAUCGCCUCGAUACCCUAUCCAGUAUAAAGGUGAACCAUGUCUCUCAAACUUUUCUAUUAAGGGACUUCCCAACACCAUUCGACUAAGAUAACGUACACGGUAGGGUUCCUUAUGUACUAGGUCCGUCCGCCCUUUCCUUGGGUACUCAGUAAGUCUUUAACAUAGAGAUUUCCAUUAACAAAAUAACUAACAAUGCAAACCACUAUUUUAU
rnacentral:lncRNA from 1 species